AAUAAAAUAUGUACUGCAAUGCUAGCAAGUUGGCAAUCAGAUGUUCAGAAAAAUAAUAUAAUGGUUAAGAUAAGAUGGAAUACUUAUGUAUUUCAUGAAUAUUACAAGCAACUUGAAGAAGACGUUAUUGUUAAAGUAUAUAAUACUAUAAUUCAAAUAACAUUUGAAUAUAUAUCAUUUAAUUAAUUAGGUAUUCAUAUUCGAAAAACUACACAACAAUAAAUGACAUGGUUUCAAGAAAUAUAUUUUAUGCAUUAAAGCUUUCACAAUUGUUAUACGUUUUGCACUCUUGUAUGAUAAGUUAUUAGUCAGUGAUGAAAUGUUUGUGAAUGUAUAUCUGCCUUUGUUAUGAAAACAAUAAUGUACGAGGUUGAAUUUAAAAUAGUAAUGUGUUUAAAUAUCGAUACAAAGUAUUUAUGUUUCUUUAAGACAUUUAUUUCAAAUAAAUACACGAAUCUAUGAAAAAAAAAGAUAUUUUUUUUAUAUACAGAUGUUUCAAAAUAAAAAUAUGAUUCUGAAAAUUUAAAUUCUUUAAUUCUUCAUUAUUCAUAAUUUCCUUUUCUAAUAUUUCUUCUCAAUUAUAAAAAGACAUGAAUUGCCUUAGUUACAUGGAUUAUAAUAAUAUCAAGCAUUAUAAAUUUAUAUUUUAUAAACCGUUAAAUUUUUCUUUGUAUAAAUUUGUAUUCACAUUAUUAUCAUUGCUCUCCAUUCUAUGAUUAACUUAUAUGAUUUUAUCAACCCCCACAUAACUAUGUGACUAUCAUGUUAAAUAUAUUUCUGAAUCUUUUAAUCUUAAAUACUAUAUUAUUUAAUAAAUAUAUUUAAUUAUAUGUAACAUAUAUAAUAAUAUGAGAAUUUUAUGAUAUGAUUCAUCCAUUCACACUUUCACAAUAUCGCGAUAUCGUUCAACUGUUCGCUGAAAAAAAACCUAACCUAAUAAUCUAAAUGUUCGAUAUAAGAUUAUCAGAUAAUAUUUUUUUUUCUUCUAAGAAGAAUGUAAAAAAUAUUUUUAUUUUGAAAUUAACUAUGUAUAUAUAUAAAAUGUUUAAAAAAUAUUGGAAUAUUUACAUCUGUAAACUGAAGAUGUCCUUAUGUAAUUUAUUAAAUAAUUUCAAGCAACAUUUUUCUUUGGCUUUGUUCACAAAAUACUACUGGUCAAUCACGAAACGCAAACAUAUCUCGAAGAAAGUGUUGAAUAUUAUAUUUAUUUUAUUCAUGAUAUAAUUCGAUAAUUAAUUUUUUUUUUUCGAUAAAAAAAUAUUUCAACAAACAAUUAGCGAAUUUGGCCACGAAGAAAAUAUUUAUUUCGAAAUAAUACGUUCAUUUAUCGAAUCGUUUAUUAAAAUAUAUCGAAUUAAUUUCAUUGAUUAAUUUUAACUUGAUACUAUAAGUAUUUUUGAAAUAUUUAAAUAUCAUUUUUGAUAACAUUCAAUAUCAUUCACUGUCUCUCGUUUCUAAAUACGAUCUUUGAAAAUACGUUGCACAUAUAUCAUUUUCUCACAUUAUCUACAAA